rnacentral:rRNA from 1 species
UGGCGGCNGGNUUAACNCAUGCAAGUCGAACGCCCCGCAAGGGGAGUGGCAGACGGGUGAGUAACGCGUGGGAACGUACCUUUCGCUUCGGAAUAUUCCCGGGAAACUGGGAGCAAUGCCGAAUACGCCGUAUUGGGAAAGAUUUAUCGGCGAAAGAUCGGCCCGCGUUAGAUUAGGUAGUUGGCGGUGUAAUGGACCACCAAGCCUACGAUCUAUAGCUGGUCUGAGAGGAUGAUCAGCCACACUGGGACUGAGACACGGCCCAGACUCCUACGGGAGGCAGCAGUGGGGAAUCUUGGACAAUGGGCGCAAGCCUGAUCCAGCCAUGCCGCGUGAGUGAAGAAGGCCUUAGGGUUGUAAAACUC